AUUGAACGCUGGCGGCAUGCUUUACACAUGCAAGUCGAACGGCAGCACAGGGAGCUUGCUCCUGGGUGGCGAGUGGCGAACGGGUGAGUAAUGUAUCGGAACGUGCCUGGUAGUGGGGGAUAACUACUCGAAAGAGUGGCUAAUACCGCAUGAGAUCUUUGGAUGAAAGCGGGGGACCUUCGGGCCUCGUGCUACUGGAGCGGCCGCUAUCAGAUUAGGUUGUUGGUGGGGUAAAGGCCUACCAAGCCUGCGAUCUGUAGCUGGUCUGAGUGGACGACCAGCCACACUGGGACUGAGACACGGCCCAGACUCCUACGGGAGGCAGCAGUGGGGAAUUUUGGCCAAUGGGCGCAAGCCUGAUCCAGCAAUGCCGCGUGCAGGACGAAGGCCUUCGGGUUGUAAACUGCUUUUGUACAGAACGAAAAGUCUCUGGCUAAUAUCUAGAGAUCAUGACGGUACUGUAAGAAUAAGCACCGGCUAACUACGUG
rnacentral:rRNA from 1 species